GGGGCUGUAGCUCAAUUGGGAGAGCGCUUGAAUGGCAUUCAAGAGGCAAGGGGUUCGAAUCCCCUCAGCUCCACUA
rnacentral:tRNA from 1 species